rnacentral:rRNA from 1 species
AUUGAACGCUGGCGGCAGGCCUAACACAUGCAAGUCGAGCGAGCGGCGGACGGGUGAGUAAUGUAUGGGGACUGCCCGAAAGAGGGGGAUAACUACUGGAAACGGUGGCUAAUACCGCAUACUAUCGGAUAACCCAUAUGGGAUUAGCUAGUAGGUGGGGUAAAGGCUCACCUAGGCGACGAUCUCUAGCUGGUCUGAGAGGAUGAUCAGCCACACUGGGACUGAGACACGGCCCAGAAUCCUACGGAGGCCGGAGUUGGGAAUAUUGGAAAAUGGGCGCCAGCCUGAUGCAGCCCUGCCGGGUGUAUGGAGAAGGCCUUAGGGUUGUAAAGUACUUUCAGGGGGGAGGCGUUACCCGGAGAAGAAGCACCGGCUAACUCCGUGCCAGCAGCCGCGGUAAUAC